GACGUAGGGGGCCAGCGUUGUUCGGAAUUACUGGGUGUAAAGGGUUCGUAGGCGGUGCGGCAAGUUGGGAGUGAAAUCUCUGGGCUUAACCCAGAGGCUGCUUCCAAAACUGCUGUGCUUGAGUGUGGGAGAGGCGCGUGGAAUUGCAGGUGUAGCGGUGAAAUGCGUAGAUAUCUGCAGGAACACCGGUGGCGAAGGCGGCUUCCUGGACCGACACUGACGCUGAGGCGCGAAAGCUAGGGGAGCAAACGGG
rnacentral:rRNA from 1 species